rnacentral:lncRNA from 1 species
UUAAACAUUAGCCAUUAAAAGCUUUCUAAUUUAAGCAGCCGGCGUUAAUUAGCCCUGCUUGCUCGGCGUCAUGUUUUCCAUGAGCCUCCCUCAGCAGUUCCAGCUGCCCCUGGUGCUCGGUAACACUUUCACUGCUGGGCACCAGCCUUCCCCUCCUGGCUGCCAAGUGGAGAAAGCAGCAGGAGCUCAACACCUUUAUCUCCAGGAGCAUCAGCAGCCUGCUGGAAACAUCUCCCUUUACAGCUCAGCUGAGGAGCAUCCAGUGGGAUCAGACUCAGCCAUUGUGGGGAAAUGAAAUGGCAGCUGGGAUGAAAACCAAUAAAAAAAAGAGAGACACCA